rnacentral:rRNA from 1 species
UACGUAGGGGGCAAGCGUUGCUCGGAAUCACUGGGCGUAAAGCGCACGUAGGCGGCUUGUUAAGUCAGGGGUGAAAUCCUGGAGCUCAACUCCAGAACUGCCUUUGAUACUGGCGAGCUUGAGUCCGGGAGAGGUGAGUGGAACUGCGAGUGUAGAGGUGAAAUUCGUAGAUAUUCGCAAGAACACCAGUGGCGAAGGCGGACUCACUGGCCCGGUACUGACGCUGAGGUGCGAAAGCGUGGGGAG